AACGAACGCUGGCGGCAGGCUUAACACAUGCAAGUCGAACGCAUCCUUUUAGGAUGAGUGGCAGACGGGUGAGUAACGCGUGGGAACGUGCCCUUCGGUUCGGAAUAACCCAGGGAAACUUGGGCUAAUACCGGAUACGUGCGAGAGCAGAAAGAUUUAUCGCCGAAGGAUCGGCCCGCGUCCGAUUAGCUAGUUGGUGGGGUAAUGGCCCACCAAGGCGACGAUCGGUAGCUGGUCUGAGAGGAUGAUCAGCCACACUGGGACUGAGACACGGCCCAGACUCCUACGGGAGGCAGCAGUGGGGAAUAUUGGACAAUGGGGGAAACCCUGAUCCAGCCAUGCCGCGUGAGUGAUGAAGGCCUUAGGGUUGUAAAGCUCUUUCGGCGGGGACGAUAAUGACGGUACCC
rnacentral:rRNA from 1 species